rnacentral:rRNA from 1 species
GACGAACCGGACAAACGUUAUUCGGAAUUACUGGGCUUAAAGGGUUUGUAGGCGGCCUUGUAAGUCAGGUGUGAAAUCCCUCGGCUCAACCGAGGAAUGGCGCUUGAUACUGCAAGGCUUGAGGGAGACAGGGGUAAGCGGAACUGAUGGUGGAGCGGUGAAAUGCGUUGAUAUCAUCAGGAACACCGGUGGCGAAAGCGGCUUACUGGGUCUCUUCUGACGCUGAGGAACGAAAGCUAGGGGAGCGAACGGG